UUGGUUUGGGAAGUUCAACACUGUAAUUUUAUCACUCUAUGUUUUAUCGACAGUACACAUCAAAUUCAGUAUUUCAUGAGAAGACCAAACACAUUGAGAUUGACUGACAUUAUGCAUCAAAUCCAGUAUUUCAUGAGGAGACUUAGCACAUAGAGAUUGACUGUCAAUUUUGUGAAGUCGAGCGAUCAACUUGCACAUAUCUCAUCAAGCCCUGUAUCGGUCCUCGUAUUAAUUACAUUUGUAACAAGCUAGAUACAUAUGAUUUGUAUGCACUAUCUUGAGGGGGGUAUUAGAAUAGUAAUAGGUAUAUACAAUCCUACUUAGAAUAAGAAUAUGAAUAGUAAUAGUAAUAGUAUAUAGUGUCCUAUUUGGAAAAUCUGUAUCGGUCCUCGUAUUAAUUACAUUUGUAACAAGCUAGAUACAUAUGAUUUGUAUGCACUAUCUUGAGGGGGGUAUUAGAAUAGUAAUAGGUAUAUACAAUCCUACUUAGAAUAAGAAUAUGAAUAGUAAUAGUAAUAGUAUAUAGUGUCCUAUUUGGAAAAUGAGUCUAUU
rnacentral:lncRNA from 1 species